rnacentral:pre_miRNA from 1 species
AGGCUGUGAAAGGUAGCAAUCAUUUCAUGACGUUUACGUGAAUUGCACCUGUCCCGGCCUGC